GAAAGGUGGGUGGGGGGAGUAAAUAGGGAAUGGGGGGGAACAACAAGGCAGGGCGUUGGAAACAAAUCAUCAUUUUUCUUGGCAUGAGCAGCUAGGAGAAAGCAAGAGGAGCAGCAAGGAGCACCGGCAUCAUCAUUUAGGCCAGGGCACAUUGAUGAAUGAAGUGCGUAGUGGUUGAAAGGCCAAAGGGCAGGACGCAUUAAAAAUGCACACGCAAUCAGAAAAUUCCUCACGACGGACUCAUAAAGCGACUCCUGGCUCCGACAACCCGACAAACCCGUCGACUCCAACUCCGACUCCGACUCCAACGCCGACUUCAGGUGAUGGAUCAGCAGCUACAGAUGAGACAGACGACUACAGAAUACAGAAGCACCCGGAGAAGUAGCCGGAGCAGCAGUUGGGCUAAUGACGGCCUUUCAAGGCAAUUACCCAGUGCUGCUGCCGUGGCUAGGAUGGGUUCCGACAGCACCUUCGCAACGUUUCGGGUUGACUUCGAGCCUAUCCGCUGAGCAUGGGUCCGGUCCAUCCGCUUACUAGGUCAACCCGACCUUCCCCGUACCCGUACCCUUUCCCGGGACCAAGUCAUAUAUUACAGCGCCGGCACCUUGGAGCGCGACGCUUCGCUCCACAUAGCAUCGCAUAGCAUCGUCGGGGAUAUUUUCUUUGACACGGCCAACAUUCUGGCACGUUCGCAUCGAGCAAACACCCAUCGAGAGCUCGUGUAUGUGCUUGGUCUGCGGCUGUUGAUGUUACGGAUGUGCUGACCCACAGAUACGAGUAUGCACAGAUUUUCUUCCGUUCGCAGAGGUACUUUCGCUCUUUCCGGUUGGUAUUGGAUCUGUGGGCAAGGAUGAGGCUGUGGCUGUGGCUGAGGAUGAGGUUGAGCACGGCGAUGAUGAUGGUACACUUCCAUACAAGGCAUUGUAGAUUUGUAUUAAAAUUCAAGCUCUUUCAUGUUAUUAAUAUUCCAUUGCGUAUUCGCGCGAGAAUAUAUUCCAUUUUUAAUAACACGAAA